rnacentral:rRNA from 1 species
UGGGGAAUAUUGGACAAUGGGCGAAAGCCUGAUCCAGCCAUGCCGCGUGUGUGAAGAAGGUCUUCGGAUUGUAAAGCACUUUAAGUUGGGAGGAAGGGCAGUAAGCGAAUACCUUGCUGUUUUGACGCUACCGACAGAAUAAGCACCGGCUAACUCUGUGCCAGCAGCCGCGGUAAUACAGAGGGUGCAAGCGUUAAUCGGAAUUACUGGGCGUAAAGCGCGCGUAGGUGGUUCGUUAAGUUGAAUGUGAAAGCCCCGGGCUCAACCUGGGAACUGCAUCCAAAACUGGCGAGCGAGAGGAGGGCAGAGGGUGGUGGUAUUUCCUGUGUAGCGGUGAAAUGCGUAGAUGUAGGAAGGAACACCAGUGGCGAAGGCGGCCACCUGGGCUCAUACUGACACUGAGGUGCGAAAGCGUGGGGAGCAAACAGG